rnacentral:rRNA from 1 species
GAUGAACGCUGGCGGCGUGCCUAAUACAUGCAAGUCGAGCGCUGCGGGGGCGGGGGAGUAACACGUGGAAACCCUCCUAUACGUCUGGGAUAACUUCGGGAAACCCGAGCUAAACCGGCUAUUUAUAGUUGGCUGCGCGCUGCAUUGGCUAGUUGGUAAGGUAACGGCUUACUAAGGCAACGAUGCAUCGCCGACCUGAGAGGGUGACCGGCCACACUGGAACUGAGACACGGUCCAGACUCCUACGGGAGGCAGCAGUAGGGAAUCUUCGGCAAUGGGCGAAAGCCUGACCGAGCAACGCCGCGUGAGUGAUGAAGGUCUUCGGAUCGUAAAACUCUGUUAUUAGGGAAGCGGUACCUAAUCAGAAAGCCACGGCUAACUACGUGCCAGCAGCCGCGGUAAUUC